GACUGCCUGGAAAAACCAUAUAAAAAGGGUAAGAUAACGAUUUUGAUUAUCAUUUUCUUUUAGUUUUACACAUUUAGAUGUUAAGUAAAUAUCCAUGAUUUCUAACUAGAAAAAAAAAAAAAUCGUUUCACUUUGCCCCUGCAAGUCAGGAGAAUAAUAAUGGUCUUCAAUCGUUUAGAGGCAUUACAAGCAGACCAGACGGUAUAAGAAGAAACUCUCAAGAGAAAUGAGCGUCUAAAGGAGCCAUCUAACAAACGAGACCAACCAUCCCAUACAAAAAUUAAGAAAGAAAAAUUUUAGUCAACCGAUCAAAAAAAGGGAAUCACAGAGCUCAAGUUGUUGAAAAAUGUACAAAUCAAACCUUGAAUAAGCAGUGAUCCAGCUGCUGUUGAAGCUCCAUGAAAGCCGAUCGGACCCGUCGGCGGGCAGGAGCGGAGUCCAGUUUCUGGGAAGCGAUUUUGUUAAGCUCUGGCGAAAUACCAUCGAUCGGCGACUUCUUCGCUGCAACAACAACGCAACCACCGGAACCCCACCUCAACGGCGGCUCCGGGAUCGUUUUCCUUUGAGGGGUGAAGGGUAAUCGGACAUUUUCGCGGAGAUCGAUCGAAGAAAUACACUUCCGGGGAAAGAAAGAAAGCUCCGACGGUCGGAAUCCAAGUUCAUGGGCCAUGGACGGUGGCUUUGCAGUUGAAAAAAAAGUAAGAAGAGAAUGUAAAGAAUGAAUUGGCGGAAGUCUCAGCUCAUCUGGUGGACCAAGGACUUCUUUAUAACAAAACAUAGAACAAUCGUGGGUCACAUGGGGUUUUUGCUCAGCGAGAAUUUACCGACUUUUGGACAUAAACUUGUAAGAACAUGAUUGUCGUGGUUGAAUUUUUGUUUCUUUGGACGGAAAACAUUAAAUUUCUGUUUUUUUUUUUAAUUAUUUGAAGUUUUUGAAAUUAAGAUGAAUAAUGAGGAGACGCUGUUGUUUCUAUUCA